rnacentral:rRNA from 1 species
UACAGAGGGCUCAAGCGUUGUUCGGAUUCAUUGGGCGUAAAGGGUGCGUAGGCGGCGCGGUAAGUCGGGUGUGAAAUCUCGGGGCUUAACUCCGAAACUGCAUUCGAUACUGCCGUGCUUGAGGACUGGAGAGGAGACUGGAAUUUACGGUGUAGCGGUGAAAUGCGUAGAUAUCGUAAGGAAGACCAGUGGCGAAGGCGGGUCUCUGGACAGUUCCUGACGCUGAGGCACGAAGGUCAGGGGAGCAAACGGG